AUCAACUAGCCAUGGAAGAAUUCCCAGAGUUUGAAUCCCUAGGAGAUCAGCACUUGAAGAGACUUGGCUGGAAAAUGAUGACAUGGAAAAAAAAAGACUGCAUUUCUCACCCUCCCUUGGAGCUGAACUUGGCUCUAUGACUCACUUCUGGGCAAUGAGCUGUAGGAAGAAGUAAUAUGUACAACUUCUGCAAAAUGUCUUCAGGAAAGAAGAAACAUGACUUCUCUUUUCUCCUCCUGCUGGAUGGAAUUGUGAAAAAUUAAUAAACAGAGACCUCAGUUAAAUAAAGUUGGGAGACCAGAAGGGGGAGCUCUCAUGUCCUGCAACCAUAGCACAGUCCAACAGGAAGAAGAAAGACUCCUCUUCCUUUCCUGCAAGGACUCAGCCAAUGAAAAGUUAUGGACUACUAUAGCACUCCCAACUUCCUUUUCCUCUCUAUAAAAGUAUCCUCCUUGCCUUUUCUUGCUAGGGACUUGCACAUUGCUCCUCAUAAUUGCAGACCCCGAAUUGAAAUUCU